AUUGAACGCUGGCGGCAUGCCUUACACAUGCAAGUCGAACGGCAGCGGGGGAGAAGCUUGCUUUUCCUGCCGGCGAGUGGCGAACGGGUGAGUAAUACAUCGGAACGUGCCCUGUAGUGGGGGAUAACUAGUCGAAAGAUUAGCUAAUACCGCAUACGACCUGAGGGUGAAAGUGGGGGACCGCAAGGCCUCAUGCUAUAGGAGCGGCCGAUGUCUGAUUAGCUAGUUGGUGGGGUAAAGGCCUACCAAGGCGACGAUCAGUAGCUGGUCUGAGAGGACCAUCAGCCACACAGGGACUGAGACACGGCCCAGACUCCGACGGGAGGCAGCAGUGGGGAAUUUUGGACAAUGGGCGAAAGCCUGAUCCAGCAAUGCCGCGUGUGUGAAGAAGGCCUUCGGGUUGUAAAGCACUUUUGUCCGGAAAGAAAUGGCUCUGGUUAAUACCUGGGGUCGAUGACGGUACCGGAAGAAUAAGGACCGGCUAACUACGUGCCAGCAGCCGCCGUAA
rnacentral:rRNA from 1 species